GAGGAUGCAUAUACUGAGUGUAUUCUUAUAGUGUGACCACAACUAUCUCUGAACGGAAUGCUGGUCCUAGCUGCUCCCUGCGGGGGAAAGCAGGGGAUCUUCGGACCUUGCGCUAAUAGAUGAGCCUAAGUCAGAUUAGCUAGUUGGUGGGGUAAAGGCCUACCAAGGCGACGAUCUGUAGCGGGUCUGAGAGGAUGAUCCGCCACACUGGGACUGAGACACGGCCCAGACUCCUACGGGAGGCAGCAGUGGGGAAUAUUGGACAAUGGGCGAAAGCCUGAUCCAGCCAUGCCGCGUGUGUGAAGAAGGCCUUUUGGUUGUAAAGCACUUUAAGCGAGGAGGAGGCUCUGAGAUUAAUACUCUUGGAUAGUGGACGUUACUCGCAGAAUAAGCACCGGCUAACUCUGUGCCAGCAGCCCGCGGUAAUACAGAGGGUGCGAGCGUUAAUCGGAUUUACUGGGCGUAA
rnacentral:rRNA from 1 species